rnacentral:rRNA from 1 species
ACCCGGGUGAAAGCCUGGGGUGCCCCGCGAGGGGAGCCCUAGCACAGGUGCUGCAUGGCCGUCGUCAGCUCGUGCCGUGAGGUGUUGGGUUAAGUCCCGCAACGAGCGCAACCCCCGCCGUUAGUUGCCAGCGGUUCGGCCGGGCACUCUAACGGGACUGCCCGCGAAAAGCGGGAGGAAGGAGGGGACGACGUCUGGUCAGCAUGGCCCUUACGGCCUGGGCGACACACGUGCUACAAUGCCCACUACAAAGCGAGGCCACCCGGCAACGGGGAGCUAAUCGCAAAAAGGUGGGCCCAGUUCGGAUUGGGGUCUGCAACCCGACCCCAUGAGGCCGGAAUCGCUAGUAAUCGCGGAUCAGCCAUGCCGCGGUGAAUACGUUCCCGGGCCUU